AUAGAAAACACUCAUGAUAUUCAAGGUGACAUAGUUACUAGUACUACCACUAAAAGAGGGUUUAUAACAUAAUAUCAAAGUUUUCAAAGUCUGCAUAAAACUGAAAUUGAAAUCACAUAAACUAUAUUUUCUUUUGCCAUUUCCCUCACUAUAAAAGAUUAUGAGGUAGAUAACAAAUAUGACAACAACUUAAAACCUUGUCACUGAAUAACUCCUUGGUCGACCUGACAUUGUUUUUUUACUAGCCACCUUUGAUUCUAUUUUACCACGCAUGUAAAAUGGUGGCUGUUGAGGUAGUGGCAAAUCAAUUGAAUCAAUGUUGAAAUACAAAGCAAUUGUUGCCAUAGUAGGCCUCUGAUCUGGAUUUUCUUGCACACAUAGUAGACCAAGCUGUAUGCACCGACUGACUUCUGUUUCUGAAAAUGAGUAUGUCAAUGCAGGAUCCAAUAAUUCCAUUUGCUUAUUUUCAGUCCAUUUUUUCCAUGCCUGCAAUCAAUUUGCCAAAUAUAGAUGUUCAGUUACUGUUGACCAAAAAUAAAAGAUGUUAAGUUACUUGACUAUUUUUUCUUAACCAAUAAACAAUCAAUUUUGUCUCUGAACUAAUAUUUUGUCAUUUUCGUCUAGUUAGUCCUUGUUAAGUAUAUUGACAAAAUGUUAGGGACUAGCGAAACAAAUGUGACAAAAUGUUAAAGGCAAACAUAGCAAAUAUGAAAAUGCUGAAGAGAGUUUAUUAUUUUUCAUUUACUUGAGGAACAAGUAAGAGAGGAUUUCAAUUCAGGGACGAAAUUUGUGGUUUACUUUUUUCUUAACUAUAUGCAAGUCGUUAAAAGUAACCGAAAAUUGUAAUAUAAUAAGAUACUCACAUGGCUCACGAGGUCAUCAAUGGAGUUUACUCCAUUAUAAUCAACGUUUCUUUUUCCACUAACAAUCUCAAGCAUUAUGACUCCAAAGCUGAAUACAUCGGAUUUAACAGAAAACUGGCCGAGCAUUGCAUAUUCAGGAGACAUGUAGCCACUAAAAAUUAACAAUAAACGGGGAAAAAGCUCAUCAUUGGUGAAUAUAUAAUCCAAAAACAAAAGUUCCAUUUUGUUCAAGGAAAUAGUUGUAUCAAUAUCAAUACUUACUAUGUUCCAGCAAUUAUACUAGUGUUUCCUUGCAUUUGAUCAAUGGCAACAAUCCUUGCCAAGCCAAAAUCUGAUAUCUUUGCAUUCAUUUUGUCAUCCAACAAAAUGUUGCUGGGUUUAAGAUCACAGUGUAUGAUUUUUAGAUGAGAAUCCUCAUGUAGAUAAAGAAUACCUCGUGCAAUCCCUCUUAUAAUCUUGUAGCGUGCAUGCCAAGUUAAUUUUCUAUGGUUCUCAGGACCUAUAAUGUUUGAUUUGUCACAAAUUCAUUAAUUUAUAAAGCAUUGAAUUGAAAAGAAAAAGAAAAACAUUUAAGUAAAUAAGUAUAGAAGGUUAAAAAUUUCAUACUGAAUAGGUAAUAAUCAAGGCUUUUGUUGUGCAUAUAUUCAUAAAUGAGUAUCUUCUCAUUCCUUUGAAUGCAAAAUCCUAACAAUCUCACAAGAUUUCUGUGUUGAAGCUUGGCUAUUAACAAUACCUCAUUCUUAAAUUCCACAGCUCCUUGACUCGAAUUUCUUAUGAGCCUCUUUACCGCUAUUUCAUAUCCAUUAGGAAACAUUCCCUACAUCACAAACAUCAUUACCAAAUAUUACAUUGAACAUUAUAACAAGAUUUCUUCACUGUGGUUUUAAACUAAAUAUUAGAUUGAUGAUAACCUUGUAAACAUCUCCAAAACCACCUUCUCCGAUCUUGUUAUCUUCAGAGAACUUGUUUGUUGCUAGUCGAAUCAUAUCGAAAUCAAAUUGCAGAGAGUUCACUUCUGAUGUAAUCUCUUCCCCAACUAUACCAUAGAAGUAUAAAAUAAAAAAAUUUGAUUCAGUAACUGAAAGUUUACAACAUUAAAAUAUAUCACAAAUGGAAAUUCUUUUUAGUUCCACAUUACAAUUUUCUCUGUGGUACAUGAGAUUCUUCCUCGCUCUCCUACGUCUCAGAUAAUACACGAAAAAGAAACCCGCAACCGAGCAAAUCAUGACAGGAGCAAGAACGUGAAAAAAUAUUUUAAAUGAUUGUACUUCAUUUUCCUCGCUUUUUACUGCAACACAGAUUAGUGUUAACAUCAAUUUACUUGAAAUAAAUGAAACAACUAUCUCAUAGAGUGCAAAAUGUUAAAAAUUUAAACCUAUUGGUUGUUCGAAAUAUGGAUAAGGAUCAUAUCUAACAACACAACUUGGAUAUAAAACACUUCCUCUAAUCUUUCCUUUAGCACACGAGGUUUGCAGAUAAUUUAUAGCAUCAUUUAAACACUUCAUGCAAUUAUCAUUAGAGAGAUUUGGUAUGCAUUGAGCAAGGCCAUACAAGAAUUUGUCCUCAAAGAAAAUUGCUCUCUUGAGAACAAAUUUGAUAGAAUUUCCCGUUGAAGUUUUAAUAGCUUGAGUUACAGGCUUCUUCAACAAAGAAAUUGCUUGAGUUACAAGAUCCAGCAUCAAAGAAUUUAGCAUUUUGUUGAAUCCUUUCAAUGGACCUUCAUAAUCCAUUGAGCCCUUCACACACCAUGAUGGAGAUUCUUCCAAAGUGCCAAAGAAAGAUCGAUCAGAAUAACGCACCAAGCAUUCAUCAGACCAAAUUAUAGCUUCUUUAUUUAAGUUACACAUUGAGGUAAGUAUUUUGGUAGAGUUUUGAACACAUUCUCCACAGUUACUUGUGUAUCCUAUACACAUGAAGAGACCAUAGAUAGUGUCUUCUUUUUCAUCGAUUGUACUAAUACUAGUGUUGUAGUAGCCAUGGUUGAGUGCUUUGGAUGAAAGUGUUGAUAAGAGUGUGGUUAGAUUGGUUUGGUAAAUGCUUUUUGGACUAAACUUUUUUAUGGUUGUGCAAUUGUAAUGGCUGAAUGUUGAUGCUGUUUCAGUUGGUGAAAAAAUUAUGCAGAACAGAAGAGUAAUUGAGAACAGUUUUUGUUUCAGAUUGUAAGCCAUCAUGCUUCAGAAAAGAUUGUAAGCCAUGAUUAG
rnacentral:lncRNA from 1 species